UACGUAGGUGGCGAGCGUUAUCCGGAAUGAUUGGGCGUAAAGGGUGCGCAGGCGGCCUGUUAAGUCAGCGGUAAAAGCCCGGGGCUCAACCCCGGCGAGCCGUUGAAACUGGCGGGCUGGAGUUGGAGAGAAGUACGCGGAAUGCGCGGUGUAGCGGUGAAAUGCAUAGAUAUCACGCAGAACCCCGAUUGCGAAGGCAGCUCACUGGACUGCAACUGACACUGAGGCUCGAAAGUGUGGGUAUCAAACAGG
rnacentral:rRNA from 1 species